UUUUCUUUUUUCUCAGCCUUAUCUGCUGAAACAGAUCUAGUCUUAUUCACUUCCAUUUUUUUCUCCGCCAUUUUUUCUCCUUUCUCUGUUGUUCCUCUAUUCCUCUUCUCUGUCAGUUUCAAUUUCAAGAGAUUUAAGCUUAAUUCUAAGAGAGGGAUUCAUAGAAAAUUAAUACUGAUGUUGAUGGAGCCAUAGUUGAUUGAACAUAUAACUGUGUUGAGGGAGAGAGUUCUAAGAAAAAGGUGAUGUUUUUACAGAUAAGAUUAAGGUUUCAAUGAGAAUCGAUGUUGGAGAUAAAGAUCAUGAGUCUGAGAUUUAGAGAAAUGGAAUGGCAUCAGGGAAAAUUGAUGGUUAUGGUGUCAAUCCGUGUGUUGAUUCAAACUCAACAGAAAGAUAAAGAGGACUAGAUAAUAGUUGUGGUUCGAAGAAGAUUUGAUGUUGUUACAAGUUAGGGUUAGUGAUUGCGUUUAGGUUCUGAAGAAUGUAGAAGAACAAAGAAAUCAGAGAACAAUUGAUGAUGGUUAGAUCAGUGAUUGAAGAAACCUAUUGAACUUGUUGUGACCACUUAUCAGGCUUCUCUGUUGUUGUUGUUGUUCAAUUCGUCAGAUAAGCUAACUUACUCAGAAAUCAUGUCACAACUGAAUUUGUCGGAUGAUGAUGUUGUAAGGCUGCUUCAUUCCCUUUCAUGUUCAAAAUACAAGAUCCUUGCGAAGGUACCUAACACGAAAACAAUCUCUCAGAAGGAUAGUUUUAUGUUUAAUGCUGAAUUUACUGAUAAAAUGAGGAGGAUCAAGGUUUGGGGGCUCACCUAGCACAUGUCAUGUGUUUGUAAUCUUCUUGUUUUCUUUCCUUCAUUGCUGACUGAAUCUUGACCUUCUGAAUCUACAAUAGGUCCCUUUGCUUGGAUGUGCUUCGACAGUUGAAAGAGUAAAAUGAGGGUAGUUAAAUGCUUAUUUUACAUUGAAGUUACAGAUUUCGUUGGAAUCUUAUCCAAAUUGUUGUGGUUGCUGAAUAUGUUUGAAGUUUGUGCUUCUCUUUUUUAAGCUCCACCAUCCGUGACAAGAUCAUACCACAUGUUGUGUCGUGGUUCACUGGAGAAGCUGUCCCGAGUGAAGAAUUUGAUAUGGAUAUGGAUGAUGACGAGGAAGAUGAGGAUGGAGAUGAUGACGAGGAAGACGAUGAUGAAGAUGAAGGAAAGAACAGGAAGAAGCCAACAUCUGGAAAGAAAAGUAGAGUUCCAGCUGCUGAAGAACAGCAAGGGGAGGGACCUCCAGAGUGCAAGCAGUAGUAAGGUUUGGUUUAGCAGCAGCCAAGUAAUUCACUGCCAUUUUUUGAAUGUGUGUGCUUAACACUGGCAAGUUGAUUGUGUUGCGUAUUCGUCACUGUUUCACUAAUGAUUCAACAAGGUUGAAUGUUGAUUGAAUAUGUUACUAUGAACGCAAUUGCAAUACAGAAAGUCUUAAGAAAUAUGACAAGGUAAACCAUCUCUUCUUCUUAUGUGAAGAUAUUUAAAAUGCUCUUCUGUGCAUCCCGGUUUAUUGAGGUUCUACUGGAGUUUGUAGGUACACUCCUCUGUAAAUGUCAAAAACUUCAGGUCCAAGUUGAGGGCUGAGCACAUUGAGCUCCUUAAAUCUCCUUGGCUAAUAGAGUUGGGUGCCUUUUAUAUAAAUUUCAAUGGAUCUAAUGGAGUUUCAGUCGAGUUUGUCGAUCAAUUCUCUUGUGAUCUUGAGUCAGAUCAUCCUUUAAUGACAUUGAUGGUUUUGGAUUCUGUGAAGCUGGAGUAUAGCCUGACUUGCGUUGUUUGCUUGGUAACGACAUCGACGUAUAUUUGAGACCGUUAAUAGAUGAGCUCAAGGAGUUAUGGGAGGCAGGGUUAGAUACGUAUGAUUCCUUAAGAAAUGAAAUGUUCAAUCUGCGUGCGGGAAGACUAUGGACUGUAAGUGAUUAUCCUGGACUUGCAAUGCUCUCGGGAUGGAGUAAUAAAGGGAAAUUGGCAUAUACAGGUGCUUGUUUCUUUGAAUAUAAGGGAAUGGCAUGAUGCCUUUUUUUUGUUUUCAUGCCAUCAGGUGUGUUCGCAGUUUGUCCCAAACUUUACACAGGCACUUUAGUUGUUUUUAAGCUUAGUUAUUACCUUUUUGAACUCUCUGGGUGUUGUUCUGUUGCCCAGAUUUUUGUUUCAGAAACAGUAGAACUCAACAUGGAAAACUUUGUAAAACUUCACAAGUUUCUAUAAUUAAAUUUAGUUUCUU